CCCGGAAGUGGGGGGCUGUGGCGGGAGGUGAGGGCCGGCGGCCUGAGGUACCUUUGGUAGGCGAGAGGAGCGUGGGGUGACAGAACCUCGGCGGAGGGGCCGCGCGCGCGCGGCGGCGGGAGGCCCGCCUGCCUGGCCGGACCCCAGGGGUGUCGGACGGUGGGCAGGGCCUCCUGGGAUCCCUGAGGCGCCGGCAGGAGGAGACGCCCUGGGGUCGGUGCCUCCACCUUCCCGUCCGGGCGGUUACAGCUUUCCCGUGUUCGCUGUCAGAUGCAGGGACCGGCGACCUCGGGCGCCUGGUCCCUGAGCCACACCGGGGAGUCGUCCGAGCAUCUCGGGAUGAGGAAGAUCAAGUUGAAUCAAAAAAGAGGAAAGAAAGCCCAUCGCGUGUGACAGACAAGAAAGUGCUACCGUUAAAAGGCAAACAGUUCUAGAGUGUGCAAACAUUUGCAGUCCCUCUGCUGAUGAUCCCGGGUUUGGUUUGGCUGGGCUUGAGCAAAUGAAAAGGAACCAGGACGGUGAGUGGAGCUGAAUGCUGUGAUUCAUGUGUGGAAACAGGGCACAGUUGCUUCUAAGAUACGUGUUGGGGACACUGAGAUCUCUAGACUUCUGUUUUAUACCUCGAGGGCAAAUUCAUCUGUGUCGUGCUCCUGCUGGAAGAUGUUUUUAAGACUCUGUGUGUGUGUGUGUGUGGGUGUGUGUGUGUGUGUAGACUGGCUAGGAAUGGGCCGUUUGUAUCCGUGGGGUGUCUUUCUGGAGCAGGAACAUGCCCAUAAGCCUCUGCUUGGUAUGAAAAAGGUCAAAUAUACAAAAAGCAGAGAUAUGUGUAAUGACGCUCCCCAAGUAGGAGUAGGUGUCAUUGCUUCAGCAAGCGUCAACAUAGGGCCAAUCCCCUGUCCUUUAUAACAUGAGACACUACAAAUGCCAGCUGCUGCGGAGCUCGCAUUGGAAGUCUGAGAGACUCUUCUCUGUAAGUGGGACUAGGGAGCCAGACAGGCCUGACCUGAAGCUGGCCUGAGCCUUAUAAGUUGCUGCUGGGUUGAUCUUCGGCCACGUCACCUUUCUGACCGUCAUCUGUAAAAAGGAAAUACAGUCCGCACCUUACAGGACAAUUGCCUUAACCCAAGGCUCCCUUCUUUGUUUCCAGCAGGUCCUUAAUUGCUAUUUUAUUACUGUUUCUACAUGUCUAUCUAGAGUGGACAACCUAAAGGAAACAAAGAGAAAGUCCUCCCCAAUAUUCAGACCUCCAAACAGGCUGAUAAAUAACCACUGCCCACCUGCCGAGGUCAUCGGUCAGGGAUGAGCACCUUCCGGGAAUUAAACCUGUAACUGGCAACUGGUGCUGGUGUGAGCUGCUGCCUUCUCAUUGUAAAUGGCAAAUACAUACCGAGAUGGUUCCAAAUUUCACCAGCAUGGCCUGAACAAUUUUUUUUUUUUUUAACACUUCCUCCACUAGCUGGCCCCUUGCUUGGGUUCAGGCCCAGAGCUGCCCACAGGGUGAUCCGUGUGCUCUCAUGAGUCCAUGUCGAUGAAUUUUUCAGCCCACCUUCUACCAAGGAAGAGAAAACACAGCAGGCCUGUGUUGAUGGGAAGCUAGUGAGUUAGGAGAGAUGGGGAGGAAGCCUGGGGAGCUGCUGCUCUGGUGGUGGGACCUAUGGGGGAAAGAUGAGCGUGUGACUCACCUGGGUGGAGUGCGCAGAACAGGAGGAGAAGUCCCCGAACCUGGAGCUGUGAGGCGAGCCAACACCUGGGCCCACAGGCACUCCAGCUUUCUGGGGAUCCUCCUCCAGCAUCGCCAAAGCCUGGGCCGGGUGCAUCCACUUAACUCACGGGGCAGGCCCCCAGUUUUUGAAGGAUCUUCACACCAGUAAGUUCAGAGGCAGUGAGACCUCAGGCGGCUUCAGUCUGUCCCCGAGGACUCAGAUCAUGCUUGUGGGUCCCCCUUGUUCUCUUCUACCUCAUCUCCAUCUUCCUCUCUCCACUGCCCGCAGCCUCCAGCAGCAGCCACCUUAUAGACACUGCUUAGCCCGGUCCUGCACUUGCUCAGGUCCGGUCUCUGUAACAGAACACAGGCGCAUCUCGUGAUGGUGCUUCUCUGAUGGAGCCUUAGCCGAUGCGCAGAAGUAGACAACUGUGUUGGGACGGAGGAGGCGCCCUGAGCUCCAGCUCAGCCCUCCUCCCAAGCCCUUCCAUCCUAGGAUCAACAGGUAGAGCCACCACACCCUGUGCUCUUUCCCAUUCCCAGCACAAAGGGGAGGAGGAGAAAGCCAACCCCAGAAGCUCCACCUAGCAACUGCCAUUGGCCCCCUCCUUCUAUUCCUGCAUCUUCAGGCGAAGCUCAGGAGUGGGGUCGUUGCCUCUGGGGGUUCUGCUACCCAGAAAAGAAGCACGUGUUGGGGGGGAGGGCGGCCAUCUCUGCAGAGACGGGCAAGAGGAGUGGCCCUAACGGCGGGGACGUGAAGUCCUGACCGCUAAGCUACCUCUGUGCCUUCAGGAGCCUGUGACUGACUACAGCAGGAGAGCAGGUGUGGCAUGGAUCCCGUGCAAGCCGGCAGUGGAGACCCAGCGCCUGAGAGUGACGUGGGGAACUAGAAGGAGCUAGAAGUGUCUUAGACCGAGCUUUUGUAAAGCUGAGGUGUGAGUAUAAUAUCAGGAUGAUCUGACUGCAAGCAACAGAGAAUCAAACAGAAAUGGCCUAGGGAGUCCCUUCAUGGCUCCCCAGUUAACAAUCUGACUGGAUCCAUGAGGAUGCAUGUUCAAUCCCCGGCCUCUAUCAGUGGGUGAAGGAUCUAGUGCUACCAUGAGCUGUGCUGUGGUGUAGGCUGGCGGCCGCAGCUCCAAUUGUACCCCUAGCCCGGGAACUUCCAUAUGCUGUGGGUGCAGCCCUAAAAAGCAAAAACAAACAAAAAAAAUGAAACAAAACAAAACAAAAAAUCCACAAAAAAAUCAGAAAUGGUCUAAACAAAGAAGAAAACGUGUUAUCCCUUACUACAAGAAGUUUGGGGGUUGAGUGGUUAAACGCAUGAUUAGUUUAGAAACUUGACAGCACCACCCAGGACCCAUUUUCCCUAAGGCGGCUGCUGCCCCCCACCCUGUAGGCUUAGCCACCGCAGCAAAGACACCCCCCCUUCCCCAACCAGAGCCCUGCGUCAGGACUGGAAAUGGCCUCCUUCCUUCCAUCCCCUUCCAGAACCUCCGCAGAAGACUCCCCUUGACGUCCCAUUCCAUCCCAUACUGGUCACUUGGCAGGGGGAACGGAUUUACCCUGGUGGCCAGAGACAAAUUAAGUCGCCCCUGGAUCAUGAAGAGCCCCCAUCUCUGGAGAACACUUGACCACUCAGUACCCAGCAACUCGGGUACCCCUGGCAAGAAAGAGACAGGUGAUACCCACUGGGUCCUGUCCACAGCGCCUGCCCCCAGCAACCUGUCUGCCUGGAAAACUGAGGGGGUGCCACGCGGGUCUGUGUCUUCUCUGUAAUUUUCCCGAGUCUUUCCCAUUAGGUAAGUGUCGCCCUUUUCCCUCUUUGCGGCUUUCCUCCUUGGCACGUCACCCAGGUUUUGUUCAGCCACAAGGGGCGAUAGGCUGAAAGAGGAAUCUCCAGGCUUAGGUGAUGGGCGAGCCGUGCGUCUAACAGUCCUGGUGAUCCUCACCCGUUUGCCUGUGCACAGUUUAGGAAACGUCCCCCUGCUCCGCCACGGAGAUGAAAGACCAGGUCCCUGGAGGGGCUUCGCGGAAGGAUUUUUCUCCCCAGUAAAGCGGUGAACAAGCCAGGGGUGCGCUGCCCUACGCGCCGUCUGCCUUUGAGCCGCCGCCAGCUCACAUCCUUGAGCAGAAAUGUUGCAGGGAAGCAGAAAGGGCCGAGUCUCAUGGAUCGUGCUGAGCGUUGCAUCCACCCAGGACUGCUUACCUUCACACUUCUGCUCCGGUGGCAAAGCAGCAAACCCCUAUUGUGUAAGCCUUUGUAGAUGGCUGGUGCCACUUGCUGCUGAAAGUGACAGAUAAUCUUUCUAGGAAUAUAACCCCUAAAGCCCUUUAUGGUAACAGAUGCACUUAGAGAAUGUAGUUUUCUUUCUUUGUCUUACUUAAAAAAAAAAAAAAAAAGCUGAAAUCUGCCUCAGGCAAAAAGACAAACUGAAAACAUAUGUAUGCAUAAUUGAAGUGCAAUCAAUAUUCAUUAGAAAAUGAACGAAUGUUCUUCAGGUUACUUUAAUAAGUUUUCUCAGGGAAUCUGUUUUUGGAUACGUAUGUCAGCUACAAUAUUUGGCACUUCCAGGAGCUCUGUGUUGAUGUCCUUCCUAGAAAUUGCACUUCUGCGCAUUUUUCUGCGCCUUUGGGGUCUCAUGUUCCUGGAAGGAAUCACUUUUCACUCCCCUGGCUUUUCCCUCGAACAGGUAACUUGUAACUUGCUGUUGCCUAGCAGCUGGCUAGGUAUCCAGCAUUUGUCCAAAAAUAUGUUCCUACAAUACCUUCCUGUCUCAGCCAUUCCAUUCACAAGACAGUUUAAACAUUUCUCCAUACUAUUCCACAGAUCAUUCAUAGAUGAACCAUUUGAACCAUGCAACAAAGUCUAGAAACUUUUAUGACUUUUAACUUACAUGACAAGUUAUCAUGUACUUGGUACCCUCAGCCAGGUACAUGUUAAGCUCAGGUUUCAUGUAUGUUAGCAUGGAACCAUAUUUCCUUGUGGAUAAACCUAUAGAUUUAUCCCCACCCCCGCUUCCCUUCCCAGAAGUAACUGUUGCCUUGACAACAGGGUAAGGACAGCAGUGAUGAUGGCUGUGAUAACGAUUAUGAUAAUGAUGGCAGGAGAAACUGUAUGCUGGCCAUUAUCUAAGCACUUUACAUGCAUUAGCUCCUUUAACGCCCAAGGAGGCAUGUGACAGAAAUGCUAUUUUUAUCCCCAUGUUAGAGAUGAGGGCUGAGGAAAGACUGGUGAAGUACCUUGCCCAAGGCCACACAUCUGGUCCCCAGAGAAGCCAGGCUUCCUACCCAGGCAACCCAGGGGUCCCAUACACUGUCGCUGCCUGAUAGGUAGCAGUGGUGGUGACACAUACUUCCUCUAAGUACAUGCGCAUUCAUAAUAAAGACACAGUAGACUUAUUUGCAUGUUUAGAAAAGUGUAUGGUUUCAGAACAUUUGUUGUUCUUCCCUGUUAUGAAUCGUGUCGCAGUAAACGUCUCGCAUCACC